rnacentral:lncRNA from 1 species
GGCGUCCUGAAUUGGGAAGGCUUCUUAGAGGGCAUUCAUUCAGCCACAGUGACUUUGCACUCCCCGUCCCAAGGCCCUCUGCUUGGCAGUGUUCCACACGUCUCCUUUGAGGCUGAGCUCACCACGUCCAUUUGAUUGUCCAUCACUCAUUCAUUCAGCAGGUGUCACUCAGGAGCUACUGUGUGCCAGUCACCGUUCUAAGCAUGGCGGGGGGCAGAGUGGCAACUAAGACAGUCCCUUCUCCCACGGAGCUGACAUCUCUAGAGGUAGUCUCUCUCUAGUUAGAAAGUUCUGAUUUCUGGAAUGUUCUUUCCUAUGACAAGCAAUCAGCCUCCCUGGAUCUUCCCCUGCAGUCCUGAUUGGGUUCCUGGAGUGGCCAAAGGCCACCUUCUCUCUUCUGAUUGAACAGCAUCACCCCUUCCUCUCUUGUCCUGGUCCUGUGGCCUGACUCUGAGACCCAGGCAACCCCCCACUCCCCCAUUGUUGCUCUAUUGCACAAUCCCGGCCAGUCCCUUCCUCUUGGCCCAGGUCCUCCUGGGGAGGAUGUGCAUGGCUCUUCAGAGGGGUCCUCACUCGGCAAAAGCAACCCCCUGUGGAUGCCACAGGUCCCGCAGGUCAACACACGGCUUUCAGAGAUGGAUCCUCCUGAACCAGAGUUUGAACUCACCAGAAAGCUGCCUUCCUGGCCAGGCUUGCCAGAGCUUUCCACAUUCAAGUCCAAAGGGUGAUGCUGCAUUUACUUGGGACCUGGCUGCCAGCCUUGCACCCAGAGCACAGGAUGCUGGAACCACACACCCUCCUCCAGGAGCCCCAAUCCCGGGAGGGAGACAGAGCCGGAGCGGAUGUUAAGCAGUGCGCCCACGUCCUGCUCCGCUCCCCUGUGACCUUCUCACCUGGGCAGCUGCCUGCAGUGUAACCCGCGCAGAUGGCUUUCCUCUGGAUUAUGAGCCUGUUGCUGGGAUUCUGCACAACAGAGGAGGACCGCUUCCUUCUGAUGCUCGACUCCACCUGUGUCUGCGGCUGCCGUCCUGGGAACGACUGUGCCACCAGGCCUCGCUGUCACGUCCCCCUGUCCUGCGUCCAGGGUUCCCACCUGCAGCUGGCUGGCAGCCGUGUGCUGAGCUGUGUGGCGAUCUGUGACAGAGCAGGGGAAGUGCCUUCCCCCUUCCGGGACACCGUGGAACGGAGGCCCCGAGCAGAGUUGCUUUGCGCUAAUGUGUCGCACAGUGCAGUGGCAGCUUCUAUUUCUUGUUUCUCUUGGAGCCAUCUGUCUGUUUCUGACCCAGAUAAGUGUUCAGGAGGCUGGGCCGUGGGAGGUGUAGAGAGGCAGCUACAGUGCUGGGCUCGGAAUGCCUUCCUCCAACCACAGGCCAGGCUUUAGCUGCUCUUCUUAGGGUGAGCUCUUUUCUGGGAGCUCCUCAGCUUCCCAGAAGGUAGUCGUCUCCCCUGGGCCACCCCAGCAGCUUGUCAGACUGGCUGGCUUCACGUUCGGCUUGGCUUCUCUCUCAGGAAUAGCCCCUGCCUCUUGGAAAACAGGCUUGAUUCAGACGCUCCCAUCAGUCCGCCACACACGCACUCCUGGGCCAUCAGAGACCCUUGCGGCUGCAGCCCAGGCCCGAUGAGCUUUCCGCUUCACAGGGUAAGAGAAAAGGUCACUUUGGGGACACUCAGCACAAGUUUCAUAUUUCUCCAAAAUUUGGGCCCCCCCUUUCAGCUCCAUUCUCCCGCCCACAGUCAAGCCCGAAUGCAUAAAGCAGCCACGUAUCCAGAACUCCUGCGGCCUCGUGUGCUUAUUGGCAGCACCUGAAUCCCAGAAUAGACAUUUCCCUAUUAAGGAACAGAAACGAUGGAAGGAGAACAAAGCCACCCUUUAUCGGAGCAGAUUGCUUUACCUGAAACAGCCCUCUAACAGACGUGCUCCUGAAGUACCUCUUGAUGAAAUCUGUGAACAUUUGUAGUAUUUUACAUUGCGCUUAAUAAUUUAUUAGUGUUUAAUAUUUCACAGGAGUAAAGCAGAAAACCUGAUAAAAUUUUCAUAUCUGCUAUUAUAAGCUAAGUAGGAUGCGAGCCGCGGCUGGGCGGUACCCAGAGCCCGGAGCCUGGGGUCCGCUCCGUGCGCCCCGAGUGCCCAGGUCACCACAGUAGCCUCUCUGCCCGUUCCCCCAGGGGUCCUGUUACCCUAGACGUCCUGUGCACUUGGGAGAGCCAGAUGCUUGUGGGCGUCGUCAGUUUGGCUGAACAGCCAGACUCGUUCAUGGUGUGGUUUGACUAGAGCCAAAUGUCUCUCCCAGCCCCUAAAUUUUCCUCACUGGUCUAUUUUUCAUGCCAUUACGGAUUCCUUUCCUUGUGAGAGAACCAACACCUAUGGGAAGCUGAGCUUAUAAUUAGUAACAGCAAAUCCAAUUCACGGUUCUAAGCGUUUCAUAGGAACAAUUCGUUAAUUUCUCACCACCCUCCUAUGAGAUAGAAGCUCUUAAUAUUCUCAUUUUACAGAUGAGAAAAUCGAGGCACGGCGAGGGGGUGAUUCACUCAGGGUCGUGCAGGAGUCAGGAGCUGGAAUUUGGGUCCAGGCGGGCUCGCUCCAGAGUCUGUAUUCUUAACUAUUACACUAUAUGUUUUCUCUAAAAACAAACCAAUCAAUAAACAAUUUGUUGCAUCCUUAUCUGGCUCAGGGCUCUGGGCCACACGCGCUCCAGGGGAUAACACAGUGAGACUUCCUGUCCGCGUCUACACGCCCGCCCUCUGAAGCCAGCAGGCACUCUGCUGCUCCACUUGUCUGCUGAGUGACCCCAGGCGAGUAACCCAAUCAUUCUGAUCGUCAAAAAUACCUGCCUCACAGGUUUGCUGUGAACGUGAAAGGAAACAAAUUUGAAGAAAAGUAUCCUAGACCACGUUGGCUGGUGGGCGAAAUCUGCUCUGCUGGGUUUUUUUAAACAGCUUUAUUGAGAUUUACUCAAAGUGCUUAAAAAACCACUUUAAGUGUUUUUCAGUAUAUUCACAGAUAUGUGCAACCAUCAUGACAAUCAAUUUUAGAGCAUUUUCAUCAUAUCAAAAAGAAACCAGCACCCUUGAGCUAUUUCUGUUCCCUGAACGUCUCCCCAUUUCCCCCUCUCUCCCCAAGCGACCACUAUUCUACUUCCUGUCUUGAUAGAUUUCUCUGUUCUGGAUGUUUCAUUCAUAUGAAUGGAAUCAUAUAGUACAUGGUCCUUUGUGUCUGACUUCUUUCACUUACCAUAAUGUUUUCCAGGUUUAUCCAUGCCACAGCGUGUAUCAAACCUCAUUCCUUUUUAUGGCUGAAUAGUAUUCCAUUGCAGGAAUAUACCACAUUUUGUUCAUCUGUUCCUCAGUUGAUGGACAUUUGGGUUGUUUCCACCUUCUGUUUGUGAUGAUGCGGA